AACGCACCUUGCGCCCUUUGGCUAUUCCGAAGGGCAUGCCUGUUUGAGUAUCAUGAACACCUCAACUCUCAUGGUUUUCCAUAGAGAGCUUGGAAUUUGGAGGUCUUUGCUGGCCUGUGGUCAGCUCCUCUCAAAUGAAUCAGCUUGCCAGUGUUUGGUGGCGUCACAAGUGUGAUAACUAUCUACGCUUGUGGUUUUCUGCCAGAUGACCUUCAGCGAUGGAGGUCCACUGGAGCUCACAAAUGUCCCUCCCCAGUGAGGACAGCUCUUUGAAUGUUUGAUCUCAAAUCAGGUAGGACUACCCGCUGAACUUAA
rnacentral:misc_RNA from 1 species